GGACAGGUGUCAGAGUGGUCGAAUGAGCACGCUUGGAAAGCGUGUGUGCGUGUGAGCGCACCGUGGGUUCGAAUCCCACCCUGUCCGCCA
rnacentral:tRNA from 1 species